rnacentral:rRNA from 1 species
UCUGGUUGAUCCUGCCAGUAGUUAUAUGCUUGUCUCAAAGAUUAAGCCAUGCUUAAGUACAUGUGUAAGUACACACGAAUUGAAAGUGAAACCGCAAAAGGCUCAUUAUAUCAGUUAUGGUUCCUUGGAUAACUUGGAAAUUCUAGAGCUAAUACAUGCAAUUAAAACAUCAACCUUAUGGGACAUGUGCUUUUAUUAGGCUAAAGCCAAGCGAUUGCAAGAUCGUAAUAUUGUUUGAACUCUAAAUAACAUGCAGAUCGUAUGGUCUUGUACCGACGACAGAUCUUUCAAAUGUCUGCCCUAUCAACUUUUGAUGGUAGUAUCUAGGACUCCCAUGGUUGCAACAGGGAAUCAGGGAAUCGAUUCCGGAGAGGGAGCCUGAGAAACGGCUACCACAUCUAAGGAAGCCAGCAGGCUCGGGGAGAUAGUGACGAAAAAUAACAAUACAGGACUCAUAGCCGAGGCCCUGUAAUUGGAAUGAGUACACUUUAAAUCCUUUAACAAGGACCAAUUGGAGGGCAAGUCUGGUGCCAGCAGCCGCGGUAAUUCCAGCUCCAAUAGCGUAUAUUAAAGUUGUUGCGGUUAAAACGUUCGUAGUUGAACUUGUGCUUCAUACGGGUAGUACAACUUACAAUUGUGGUAAGCGUAUUACCGGUGGAGUUCUUAUAUGUGAUUAAAUACUUGUAUUUUUUCAUAUGUUCUCCUAUUUAAAAACCUGCAUUAGUGCUCUUAAACGAGUGUUAUUGUGGGCCGGUACUAUUACUUUGAACAAAUAAGAGUGCUUAAAGCACGCUUCAAAUGCCUGAUUAUUCUGUUCAUGGGAUAAUGAAAUUAGACCUCUGUUCUGCUUUCAUUGGAUUUCAGAUCAAGAGGUAAUGAUUAAUGGAAGCAGUUUGGGGGAAUUAGUAUUACUACGCUAGAGCUGAAAUUCUUGGACCGUCGUAAGACUAACUUAAGCGAAAGCAUGUAGUGCACGUAGUUCGACAGAUUUUUAACUAGUUGGUCUUUUAAUAGUGGGUGGUAAUUACUAAUAAAGAGGACCUUGUACUUCCUUCGCUAGGGAUGCGCACUCUUGCUAUGCUCGGGUCUAGCUCGCCGUAGGUCGGGGUUCUUUUAGCUUAGGAUAGUACGAAACGCUACUACAUUUUAAUAACUGCGUCUUAUUCAAAAACAAUAUUCAAAACUGGACUAUCGAUUAAUAAAAGAAAUGGCUUUAUAUUGAUACUACUGAUACAAGCCGACACGUGUGAAGAUAAGCUACAGAUUCUGAUAAGUAUUGGGAAUUUUGGAUGUUAAUAAUUCCCUAAGUCUUUACCCUCCCUACCAUGGCAAUGCUACUUAAAAUAUUUACAUUGUCCCUUGGCCAAGUUCAAAAUAACUCUACCACAUAUUUAAGAAAGUGUUCAACAUAAGUACUCGACAAACCAUUAAAUCUAUUUAUUCACAAUUCAUUCUUUUUCAAUAUAUCUUCAAUCAUAAUUCCAUUUAUAUAAAUUCAGUUUAAAAGGCGGUUCCAUUAAAUCUCUUUUACAAACUAACAAAUUUUAACCUUCGCAUAAUUAUCCUAGUCAUUCUCUAACUCUUCAUUUUCGUUUAUAUUUAGUGAGUAAAAUAAAGCAUAUAAAAGUAAAGUAUAAAGCAAACAGUCAUAAGUAAUUGAAUAUAAAAUUAGCAAAUAU